GAAAUACUCCCUCCGUUCCAUAAUUCUUGUCAAAAUAUUACAUGUAUCUAGACACUUUUUAGGAAUAGAUACAUCCGUUUUUGGGAAAAUUUGAGACAAGAAUUAUGGAACGGAGGUAGUAAUGU
rfam:Brachypodium distachyon strain Bd21 chromosome 3, whole genome shotgun sequence.